rnacentral:rRNA from 1 species
GUGGGGAAUAUUGCACAAUGGGCGAAAGCCUGAUGCAGCAACGCCGCGUGAGGGACGACGGCCUUCGGGUUGUAAACCUCUUUUAGUAGGGAAGAAGCGAAAGUGACGGUACCUGCAGAAAAAGCACCGGCUAACUACGUGCCAGCAGCCGCGGUAAUACGUAGGGUGCAAGCGUUAUCCGGAAUUAUUGGGCGUAAAGAGCUCGUAGGCGGUCUGUCGCGUCUGCUGUGAAAACCCGAGGCUCAACCUCGGGCCUGCAGUGGGUACGGGCAGACUAGAGUGCGGUAGGGGAGAUUGGAAUUCCUGGUGUAGCGGUGGAAUGCGCAGAUAUCAGGAGGAACACCGAUGGCGAAGGCAGAUCUCUGGGCCGUAACUGACGCUGAGGAGCGAAAGCGUGGGGAGCGAACAGGAUUAGAAACCCUAGUAGUCC